rnacentral:miRNA from 1 species
ACGCAACAAUGAUAAUGAUGAUGAUGAUGAUUCCAAUGACAAAUAUGAUUGGUUGUACUCGACAUGCACAUCAUCAUCAUCAUCAUCAUCACCA